AAAGUUGUAGCCCUCAUGAAGGCGAACAACAUUCGUUAAUGUCUUCUUAACAAAAUAUGCAAGCGUAAGGUUUUACGUUCUGCGCAUGCGCAGGCCUUCUCCUUCCCAGCCGGCAUUUCGGUCUGGAGCUCUAUCUGGCUGAAAGUUUCGCGGAAAAGUUGAUGUCACGAAAAAUGUCCAUAAAAUCAUUUUCUGAAUCAGAAUUUUACGCUGAAUCCAAUGGUAAUAGUGUCGUCCCCAGCCGCCGCAUUGGUCCCGAGUUAUAGAAGGUUAUGUACUGCGCAUUCGCAGAUCUAUCUUGGUAAAUACGCAUCUUUUGUUGUAAGGAUAUUAAGCAAAGUUGUAGCCCUCAUGAAGGCGAAUAACAUUCGUUAAUGUCUUCUUAACAAAAUAUGCAAGCGUAAGGGUUUACGUUCUGCGCAUGCGCAGGCCUUUUCCUUCCCAGCCGGCAUUUCGGUCUGGAGCUCUAUCUGGCUGAAAGUUUCGCGGAAAAGUUGAUGUCACGAAAAAUGUCCAUGAAAUCAUUUUCUGAAUCAGAAUUUUACGCUGAAUCCAAUGCUAAUAGUGUCGUCCCCAGCCGCCGCAUUGGUCCCGAGUUAUAGAAGGUUAUGUACUGCGCAUUCGCAGAUCUAUCUUGGUAAAUACGCAUCUUUUGUUGUAAGGAUAUUAAGCAAAGUUGUAGCCCUCAUCAAGGCGAAUAACAUUCGUUAAUGUCUUCUUAACAAAAUAUGCAAGCGUAAGGUUUUACGUUCUGCGCAUGCGCAGACCUUCUCC
rnacentral:lncRNA from 1 species